AAACGUAGGAGGCGAGCGUUAUCCGGAUUUACUGGGUGUAAAGCGCGUGCAGGCGGUUCUGCAAGUGGGACGUGAAAGCGCCCGGCUCAACCGGGCGAGGACGUACCGAACUGCGGGACUAGAGGCAGGGAGAGGCGUGUGGAAUUCCGGGUGUAGUGGUGAAAUGCGUAGAGAUCCGGAGGAACACCAGUGGCGAAGGCGACACGCUGGGCCUGGCCUGACGCUCAGACGCGAAAGCAUGGGGAGCGAACGGGAUUAGAAACCCCGGUAGUCCAUGCCGUAAACGAUGCUGACUAGGUGUGGCGGGUAUGAACUCCUGCCGUGCCGGAGCCAACGUGGUAAGUCAGCCACCUGGGGACUACGGCGGCAAGGUUAAA
rnacentral:rRNA from 1 species